rnacentral:tRNA from 3 species
AUUUAUAUAGUUUAAAAAAAACAUUACACUUUCAUUGUAAAAAAAAUAAAAUUUAUUUAUAAAUA